rnacentral:rRNA from 1 species
ACGCAGCGAAGGGCGAUAAGUAAUGUGAGUUGCAGUAUUUUCAGUGAAUCAUCGAAUCUUUGAACGCACCUUGCGCUCCUUGGUAUUCCGAGGAGCAUGCCUGUUUGAGUGUCAUUAAAUCCUCAACCCUCCCUUGCGGGUGUGGCUUGGACUUGGAGCGUGCUGGCGAAGGUCGGCUCCUCUUUAAAAUGCAUCAGCGGAAAGCUUUUCUGGCCGUUCGGCGUGAUAACACUGUUGCGCCGUGGAAGCCUCUGUAAAGGCCUCGCUUACAAUCGUCUUCGGACAAAACGACAUCUCAGUCAAAUACACUUUGACCUCAAAUCAGGUAGGACUACCCGCUGAACUUAA